GGGGUUGUGGCUAAGCGGUAGAGCACUCGCUUAGCACAUGCGAGGCCCUGGGUUCGAUCCCCAGCAACACAU
rnacentral:tRNA from 1 species